rnacentral:antisense_RNA from 1 species
GAAAUACCAAUAUUUUUUAAGCAUGGCAAGUGUUUCCAAGCAUUCAGAAGUGGAGAGUGUAGGAUAUCCACUGCAGAAUGAGGUCUGCUUGUCAUCCUCUCAGUCUCAACUGCUCUCCCUCCAUCUCUCUCUGUUUCAUUGA